UACACACAAUGACAAGGGGAUUCACGAAAAUAUUUCUCAACCCCAACCCAAAUCUUUCGUCACUGGUUCAACUUUCUCCUUCAAGUCCAACCACGACCUCGGCCGCUUUGUUUGGAGUUUCCCAUUAGAACUCCCAGCAAGCGCACGAGAAAUCACAUGCAUGUACUACAAAGACUGUGCUAGACAUGCUAGCGAAGCACAAGGAGUUUCCCAUUAGAACUCAAAGGCUGUGCUAGACAUGCUAGCGAAACACAAGGAGUAAUUAACAUACCUUUACCCUCAUGACAUGACGAACAUUUUUUCAAUUUAAGCAUUGAACAUGUCAGGAAACAUUCUGAGUUCUGAUGGACAUACAGUUUAAUACCAACCAAUUCAUAAAAUACUGCACUAGUCCUAAAGUUGAUGAGCUUAGAUGCACUUCUGAAUAGAAACUGUAUUAGUUUCUCUCUCGGAGCACUUUUUCCUCGCAAGGAACGCAGACAAGCAUCUAAACGGCACUCCUGUCAGAUGGGCAUUAAAAUGCCGAGCGCCCUCUAGGGUCCGACGAUGGAUUAGUGGAGUGGCUUGACCUUUUCCUCCUGAGGGUAUUCCAGGUGAAGCUACCCCCGUGCUGCAAACCACCAGCAGUGACUUCAUCUUCGUCGUUGUCGUCUUCGUUGUCGUCCUUGCUGUAGGAAGAAACUCCAGGUCUUCCUUUCUCUGGUGUCCAGGUUGAGUUGCCUGCACCAUUGGCGCUGUCAGAAUAUUUGAGCCUUUUUGCCCUAUCAUGUAAAUCAACCUCCUGUAUAUCGGAUAAAUAGGCACUCCGCUUUGCUCUUGGAGUCAUCUUUGGGAUGUCUUCGUAUACCUCGUCAGAUUUCAUCCAUUGAUCAACAUAAGAGUCUGAAUAGACAACCUCCUUCCUUCGCCUCUUUGUGUUUAUCACAGGAUUUUUGGCUUCUUCCGCAAGGAGCUUCUCAGCUAAGGUUUCACUGAUAUCAAACACCCAUUCUGGAACCUCGGGGCCCUGCAUGAGCCUGGAUUUAUAGUUUUCUCGUCGCCGCCUCUCUUCAUCCAUCUUCUCAAACAACCAGAACUCCUCCUCAGUUCGAGCAGCCAAACGAUUUAUUUCACGCUCACUAGGGAUGUCAGUUCCAAGUGUACUAGUCCCUCUCUUCAAGAUCUCCUGUAGCAAUGCUUUCCUAUCCUGAGCUG
rnacentral:lncRNA from 1 species